UACGUAGGCGGAAAAUUAAGUCAGUGGUGAAAUCCUGCAGCUUAACUGUAGAACUGCCAUUGAUACUGGUUUUCUUGAAUACAGUUGAGGUAGGCGGAAUGUGUAAUGUAGCGGUGAAAUGCUUAGAUAUUACACAGAACACCGAUUGCGAAGGCAGCUUACUAAACUGUUAUUGACGCUGAGGUACGAAAGCGUGGGGAGCGAACAGGAUUAGAUACCCUGGUAGUC
rnacentral:rRNA from 1 species